rnacentral:lncRNA from 1 species
UUUAAUAUGCUAAACUUAACUAAUAUAUAUGUAAUACCUCAAUUUUGCCCGGCCCAUGGGAAACCAAAGCAUAGUCCAAUAUAUACAAAAUAAUAAUAAAAGUCUCUUAACAGUCCUUUUACAAAUGUUAAAACCCAAUAACUCACCUAAACUUGCCCAAUACAAAAGCCCAUACCUGGUUACAACCCAAUAGCCAAAUCAGUACCUAGACCAGCCCAACUUAAACUAAACCCAAGUAGUUGCAAUCCAAACACUAUUACACCCGUGACCCAGAGAACUUAAACCCAGUACACAAAUUGGCCCAAACGAAAUCAGACCCAAUAAAUUAUGUGGCCCGAUAAGUCCAAAUUGGUUUCAGAUUUGGAGACCCUAGGGUUUUCAAUCACCCUUUUUGGCGCCGUAGCUCUCAUGAAACCUCAGCCUUCACCGUUGCCAUUUCAGUGCAUCACGCGGACAUUUACCGCCGGAUCCCUCGGGGUUUACCUGCAAGAAGGGAAAGGAAUGACAGACAUGGCAAAGAAUCGGGGAAUAAAUUGAUACACAAAUUUUGUACACUAGGAAAGAGACUAUAAAAGCCCUUUUAAAUCUGUAAAGGAGGGGAGGUUUUUUUUUUUUUUUGAGUUGUAAUCACACAGACACAAAUAGUAUAGAAGGAAUAAAAAUUACGACAGAUUUAAAGGUUUGACUGCCUUCAUUCUCUAUUAUUUCUUUCUGUCUUUUCAUUUACAUAUAUAUACAUGCAUUUUUAAUAUAAACAGACGAUUCAAAAGCAGUUCGAAAACUAAAAGGAGAAACAGUUCAUUUUUUUAGUUGUAAUAUGCAAAAAUAUUUUUCAAAAUAAGGAAGAAAAGUACUACCAGUGAAACGCCUAGAAAAGGAGGACUUUUGGCCUUCUGACCACCGCGAACGGUGGCGUGUACGGUGGCGCGUGCGACGGAGUUACCAUCGGAGAAUGGUCAGAAUUCGCUUGGCCAAAGAGAAAGAAAGGGUUUUUUUUAGAGAAAAAUGAAGGAAU